GUGCCAGCCGCCGCGGUAAUACGGGGGGGGUAAGCGUUGUUCGGAAUUACUGGGCGUAAAGGGCUCGUAGGCGGCCAACUAAGUCGGACGUGAAAUCCCUCAGCUUAACUGGGGAACUGCGUCCGAUACUGGAUGGCUUGGAUCCGGAAGAGGGAUGCGGAAUUCCAGGUGUAGCGGUGAAAUGCGUAGAUAUCUGGAGGAACACCGGUGGCGAAGGCGGCAUCCUGGGCCGGUAUUGACGCUGAGGAGCGAAAGCUAGGGGAGCAAACGGGAUUAGAAACCCCAGUAGUCC
rnacentral:rRNA from 1 species